ACUGGCCCAGCGUGCAGGGAGGAGCCGGACGGGCUAUGCUACGCGGGGGCGCAACCACCCCAACCUCGUAGUUAUUCUAAAGUGCAUCUGGAAGAAUAAACAAAUGAUAAUGAAAGAAAAGGAAGGAAGGGAGAAAGAAGGAAGAACGGGCUUCUAACAAGAAGAGUAAUAAGACUCUACUGAACCUCACACUUGCUGGAUUUUAUGAAGUAAACAGCCAUUCAGAGAGGUCAUAUGCCAAGGAACUGAGGAUACCUCUGGCUGGUAACCCACAAGCACAAGGAACAAAUCCUGCAACAGUGACGUUAGCUUGGUAUCCUUUCCCAGAGGAGCCUCAGAUGAGCCACACCCAGGACUCAGUUACCCAAUGUACACUGGGACCUAGAUUACAGCUGAGGACCUCUAUACCCAUCAAGAUCAUAAUAAAAUUAGAGGUAUGUGAUUUACUUAACAAAUACUGGGGGAUUUUCUAGAGAUGUUUCGGUUAUUGAUUUCUAAUUUAAUAACAUGUGAUUAGAGAACAUACUUUGUAUGCCUUGAAUGCUUUUGAAUUUAUUGAGAUUUGUUUAUGGCCCACCCAGAAUAUGGUGUAUUUUGAUGAAUGUUCCAUGACCACUUGAAAAGAAUUACAUUCUGCUGUUGUUAGGUCAAAUGGUCUAUCAUUGUCAGUUAGGUCAUGUUCCUUGAUAGUGUUGUUCAAGUCUACUAUAUCCUUUCUAAUUUUCUGCCUACUUGUUCUAUCAAGAGUUGAAAGGGGAAUAUAUUGAAAUCUCUAACUGUAAUUGUGAAUUUGUUGAUUUCUCCUUGCUGUUUUUCAGUUUUGCUUCAUGUAUUUUGAAGUUUUGUUAUAAGGUGCAUAAACAUUUAAGAUUGUUAUGUCCU
rnacentral:lncRNA from 1 species